ensembl:piRNA 21ur-2774 ncRNA
UCAAUGAUCAAAGCUUGCAAC